GUCUACGGCCAUACCACCCCGAUCGCAUCUGAUCUCAGAAGCUAAGCUAAGCAGGGCCUGCCUGGUUAGUACUUGGAUGGGAGGAUGUGGGGUCUGGCACUGUGGCGG
rnacentral:rRNA from 1 species